UACGUAGGGGGCUAGCGUUGUCCGGAAUCAUUGGGCGUAAAGCGCGUGUAGGCGGUUCGGUAAGUCCGCUGUGAAAGUCGGGGGCUCAACCCUCGGAUGCCGGUGGAUACUGUCGGACUAGAGUACGGAAGAGGCGAGUGGAAUUCCUGGUGUAGGGGUGAAAUCCGUAGAUAUCGGGAGGAAUACCAGCGGCGAAGGCGGCCUUCUGGACGGUGACUGACGCUGAGACGCGAAAGCGUGGGGAGCAAACAGG
rnacentral:rRNA from 1 species